AUUGAACGCUGGCGGCAUGCUUUACACGUGCAAGUCGAACGGUAACAGGCCGCAAGGUGCUGACGAGUGGCGAACGGGUGAGUAAUGCAUCGGAACGUGCCCAGUCGUGGGGGAUAACUACUCGAAAGAGUAGCUAAUACCGCAUACGAUCUAUGGAUGAGAGCGGGGGACCGUAAGGCCUCGCGCGAUUGGAGCGGCCGAUGUCAGAUUAGGUAGUUGGUGGGGUAAAGGCUCACCAAGCCAACGAUCUGUAGCUGGUCUGAGAGGACGACCAGCCACACUGGGACUGAGACACGGCCCAGACUCCUACGGGAGGCAGCAGUGGGGAAUUUUGGACAAUGGGCGCAAGCCUGAUCCAGCAAUGCCGCGUGCAGGAAGAAGGCCUUCGGGUUGUAAACUGCUUUUGUACGGAACGAAACGGCUCUGGUUAAUACCCGGGGCUAAUGACGGUACCGUAAGAAUAAGCACCGGCUAACUACGUG
rnacentral:rRNA from 1 species